rnacentral:misc_RNA from 1 species
AUGAUGCAUAAUCACAUGCAAUGUCACAUACCAGCAUGUAUAUCACUGCAUUAACAGUGAAACAUUAAGUUCUGGAACACACACACUCCGGCCUGACAAAUAAAUGGUAUUAAUUAGUUACAUUUCCAUUGCCAUGUCACUAAAUUUGACUUCAUUAUUGACCUUUAGCAUUGGAAUUAUAUAUAACCAAGUUUUCUCCUAGUC